AACAUUCAUACAAAAACAACAAAAAAA
rnacentral:sRNA from 1 species